AAUAAACAGGUAUGUAUUGGAAAUUUAUUCAAAUAGCAGUUAGGUGGAGAUAGUUUCACACUCAUAUUUUAAGGGGCUUUAAUUAGGCAAUUUCAAAGAAGAAAAACAUCUUUAUAGUCACGGGCUCACAGCGCGUACAUUCAGGCAUUCAGAGUUGAUAUUGCGGAACCGUGGUGAGGGGAGAACUGGAGGAGGUUCAUCAACUAGAUAUCUUUUUCGUUUUACCAGGGUCUUCGUCAUUUUUAAUAUUAGAAUAGUGAGAUGCGGUAUAACUGAUUUUCCGUCGGACGCAAUUUAUACCUAUAUAAUACAAGACAGAAACACGUGCCGAAACUUACGUAUGUACCCAAGAAUCAGGACGUAACUUACAGUCAGCCAGUUCACUAUAAAUAUCUGACGUAUGUAUACUAUACAAUAUAAAUCAUUAAUUACCAACUAAAUAAAAUGUAUAGUCAAAUUUAUCCAGUGUUGGGAAAAUUACUUUUGAAAAGAAAUAAAAUUACGUUACACGUUAUAUUAAAUAUUAUUAUUUAAAUUACAUGCGUUAGUAGCGUUACCUAUCCAACAUUAUUUUUAUCACAUUAUGCUACUUUUUCAUUCAAUAAGGAGGUUACAAAUAAAGUUAAAUUUUUAUAAAUGAAUACAAAAUCAGUCCUUAACGACUAAUAAGUACACUACUUAUACUCUUAAUUAUUAUAUGAAUUGUAUAAUAGUAUAGGUAUAACAUCGAUGUAGGUAUUUGUUAAUGCCUUAAUGGCUUAAUGUUAUACAUGAAAUAUAUGGACAAAAUGUAUAAGUAUUAAUUUCAGGAAUAAUAUUAUUAAUUUUCCACGAAUAUCGUGAUCCUAGUUUAUGUCAUAUACUACACAGUCUACAUUUAUGACUUAUUUUAAUAAGGUUACAAUUACGUUGAUUAAAAUAAAAUAUAAUGAAAUUACUACAAGGUUACAGCAAAAGUUAACUUCGUUACAGUAGUUUGUAAUUCAGUUAUUUUACUACCCAACGCUAAUUAUAACCAAUAAGUAGGUCGAAGAUAAAGAAUAAAUGUUAUUGUUGCUAAAUACCAUUAUACCAAUAAUAUUAUGUGUAAUCGACGUUUAUCGAAUGCAGUAAUACACAAUAGAAUUUUCAACAACUUACCAGUUGAAGUAAUAUAAAUUUAAAAUUUGCAUAAAGAGGAAUUACUAUCUAGCAACUAGACAUUAGCAUAAUAUCCAAAAUUCCAAAAGCUGGUUUGAAAAUUAAAACAAUGCGGUAGGCCCUCGACGGUCAAAAAAUAAACUUCCAUUACAAAAUAUUUUUUAACAGAUUUUUUCUGACUUGCGCAGUAGUACCUUACUACCUUGAGGUUUGUACCUACAAAGACAAUUAUUAAUUUUUAGUCAAAUUUAAAUAUAAAUUGUUUUACGAGUAGUAAUAGGCGUUAACUGGGGUACAAUACAAUACCCCUUGGUGUUUCGUAAAUUAAUUUAAAAAAUAUCAUCGAAAAUGCAUUUUUGCUUAAUUAUAAAGUAAGGAUUAAUUUGUCAAGAAAAGUAUGAUAUUUUAAAAGAUUAACUACAGAAUACAAUGAAUGGCCUAAUCAGAAAUGUUUAAUCAUUGCCAUUCGCGAUCACAAUACAUCAUAACAGAAUUUAUUAUCCUCUUCAUAAUUCUCGAGCAAAAACAAAACGAUGAUUUAAAGGCAGAACUAAAAUUAGUUGGAAAUUUGUGUUCACUAAUAUUACUGAACAUUUUGAAGCUCGUUAAAAUAUGUGCCCUACAUACAUCGUUUUAUUUUAUUGCUGAUUCAGGUUCUGAAUGUCUUCCAAUAUGGCGAGAAAUAGGUAAUCCUGGUCAGGACUGUCUUGACGGUAAAUUCGCCAGGAAUUUAAGUGAUGAAUAUAGGACUGUACGUCUGUACACGAUUAAGAGAAACACCUCUCAUUUCUUUCAAUAAUUUAAAAUCCACGUCCAACCAUGACCUCUUAAUGUAUUGAGUGUGGGCUCCUACAUUCGCAUCGACAUAAUACGAGAUUUGGUGAUUUAGUCUUGUGAUGCAUAAUGCAGCCCAUUCAUCUGAUCCUUGCAUCUCAUAUUCAUUAUAUUAUCGGUAAAAGCGUUUCUCGAUCGUGUCAAUGAACAUAUAAAAAUGACGGGAACCGUUUCCAUUUUUUAAACUGAAUACUCAGGGGGCCAUCUACUCGUGAAACGUAAUCUCGGUUAUUAAUUACUUCAGAAUUUAUAAAUUUUUCAAGGAGGGUAGAGCGUCCCCAGCGAAUAAUAUACCCUUAAUGUAUUUCCUUCGGCUAGCGAGACAAGAUUCAACAAUAUGAAUUGGAUUUUGUGCAUUUACAGUCUAAUCUUUUAGUCUUUUAAACAGCUGUGCGUACUUCCCAACAUAUCGUAUGUAAAAACGAUGGAAGAUAAUGCAUAAUAAAAUAUACAGUCGUUGUCCAAUAUCCCUUUACCGAGUGUAGAACAAACGGCAACACCUGUAGAGAGCGUCCCAAAUCAGAGCAGUCAUAAAAUAAUUUUGGUAGUAUUUUAUUGUUAGAAAAUUACAUGAACCACCCCUAACAAUUUACAACUCUUUCAGUAUUUUUAAUGCAGAAUCACAUUUUAAAAUCAAAGUAAAAAUGCUUACAUUUCUACAUUUCAAUAAUUAUAAAUAUUAGUGAAUUAGCUUGACGUAUAGAUAAUCAUGUCUUUUAGCAUUGGUUUACAUUAGUUUACAUAGAAAUUAUUAAUAUAUUUAUUUUUAAAGAAUGUUUUCAAUCUAUUUUGGGAACGUUAAUUAAUAAUUUUUAGUUUUCAAUAACGAGACAAAAUACUGUAAAACAUGAUAAGUGAUAAGGAUAACUAUUGGCUUUGUCACUGCUAAUCAUCUGCGAAAAGCAUUUUAAUAUAAUAAUUAGCCAAGAUUUCUUCAGCUUACGUCAAAUUUAAUAUUAUUUUGUUAUUUUCUUAUUUCUUAUGUCAAACAAGAAAAACAGGUGUUAAGAAAACUCACUUUUUAAAUUAAUCGUCAGUAUGUUUUAAUGAUUGGCAAUAUUUACUUUUAUUCUAAAAAUCAUGAAUAUACAAACAGGAUACUGAUGUAGUGAUAUGACAGCCAAAGAUUGAAAAACAAUCUAUGAACAGUACUAGGUGUUCACAAAUCAUGAAAAAAUAUUUUUUUUCAUUUUAAUUGGAGUUUUGGAGCAUCAAUUUAAAAUAAAUAUGUUGAACUAGUGCAUAGAAUAAUAUUGUAGUUAAAUUUAAAAUAACUAUUAUUACCAUUAAUUGUUUCAAGUGUGAAUAUCCAAAUUGUAAACUGCAUAUAGUAAAAUAAUUGGUCCAUGUGCCAUGUUUAAAGUAAACAAUAAAAAAAAUACUUUGGCUUAUCACAAAGUUUAUUACAUUCACAAACGUGUACACUACGUCAACCUACCUAAAAAAAUUGAUUAACAAUUAGCUUAGCUCAAUUUUAAAAAAAUUAAGAGAUUUAACAUUUUUUUUUUUUAAGUUUAACAUAUUCUUGAAUGUCUAAUACAUCAGAUUUAUACUGUACUUAAUAGUUCUAGUUUAAUCCACAAAAUACAUAUACAAAUUUUCCUACAUAGUGUUAGACUUGAGUGUUAUGUAUAUAUUUUAGAUUAAUAUCAUAGUACGAAAUAAACUAUUUAAAUUUAAGGUAACAAUAAUGAAUAAUAAUAUUAAUUUGUCAACUUAGCAAUCAAAAACACAUAUUAUAUUAUUAUAUUUUAAUUACAGUACACACCAGUAUUGUAAUGUUCAAUUGGAUAU